rnacentral:rRNA from 1 species
GACGAACGCUGGCGGCGUGCUUAACACAUGCAAGUCGAACGGAAAGGCCCUGCUUUUGUGGGGUGCUCGAGUGGCGAACGGGUGAGUAACACGUGAGUAACCUGCCCUUGACUUUGGGAUAACUUCAGGAAACUGGGGCUAAUACCGGAUAGGAGCUCCUGCUGCAUGGUGGGGGUUGGAAAGUUUCGGCGGUUGGGGCUGGACUCGCGGCUUAUCAGCUUGUUGGUGGGGUAGUGGCUUACCAAGGCUUUGACGGAUAGCCGACCUGAGAGGGUGAACGGCCACAUUGGGACUGAGAUACGGCCCAGACUCCUACGGGAGGCAGUAGUGGGGAAUAUUGCACAAUGGGCGGAAGCCUGAUGCAACAACGCCGCGUGCGGGAUAACGGCCUUCGGGUUGUAAACCGCUUUCGCCUGUGACGAAGCGUGAGUGACGGUAAUGGGUAAAGAAGCACCGGCUAACUACGUG